AGAGUUUGAUCCUGGCUCAGGAUAAACGCUGGCGGUGUGCCUAAGGCAUGCAAGUCGAACGGUCGCCUUCGGGCGGCAGUGGCAGACGGGUGAGUAACGCGUAGGAAUCUACCCUUUGGUGGGGAAUAACUUCGAGAAAUCGAGGCUAAUACCGCAUAAGUUCUGCGGAAGAAAGGCCGUAACUGGUCGCCAAAGGAGGAGCCUGCGUCCUAUCAGCUUGUUGGUGAGGUAAUGGCUUACCAAGGCUAUGACGGGUAGGGGGCGUGAGAGCGUGUCCCCCCACAAGGCAACUGAGAUACGGUGCCUACAUCUACGGAUGGCAGCAACUAGGAAUCUUGCGCAAUGGGCGAAAGCCUGACGCAGCGACACCGCGUGUGGGAUGAAGGCCUUCGGGUCGUAAACCACUGUGGAGAGGGAAAAUAAUGAUGGUACCUCUCUAGAAAGCACCUGCUAACUACGUGCCAGAAGCCUCGGUGAUACGUAGGGUGCAAGCGUUAUCCGGAUUUACUGGGCGUAAAGAGUAUCGUAGGCGGUUUGACAAGUGAUUGGUGAAAGCCUCAGGCUCAACCUGAGAACUGCCAGUCAUACUGUUAGACUAGAGUAACUUCGGAAAGAUUGGAAUUCUCGGUGUAGGGGUGAAAUCCGUUGAUAUCGAGAAGAACACCAAGGGCGAAGGCAGAUCUUUAGGAGUUUACUGACGCUGAUGAACGAAAGCUUGAGUAGCAAAAGGGAUUAGAGACCCCUGUAGUCCAAGUCGUAAACGAUGCCCACUAGAUGGUUGCCUUUUAGGCGACUGUCGUAAGCUAACGCGUUAAGUGGGCCGCCUGGGGAGUACGACCGCAAGGUUAAAACUCAAAGGAAUUGACGGGGAAACGCACAACCAGGGGAGCAUGUGGUUUAAUUCGAUACAAAGCGUAGAACCUUACCUGGGUUUGACAUUCUGAUGACCGUUUUAGGAAACUAGAAUUUUUCGCAAGAACAUCAGUAACAGCUGCUGCAUGGCUGUCGUCAGCUCGUACCGUGAGGCGUCGGCUUAAGUGCCGCAACGAGCGCAACCCCUAUCCCGUGUUGUAUAUCACGGGAGACUGCCUCGCUAAAAGCGGGGAGGAAGGAGGGGAUGAUGUCAAGUCAGCAUGGCGCUUACAUCCAGGGCAACACACAUCCUACAAUGGUGGGGAACAGCGGGUUGCGAAAUCGCAAGAUGGAGCUAAUCCUUCAAAUCCCCCCUCAGUUCAGAUUGCGGGCUGCAAUUCGCCCGCAUGAAGUCGGACUUGGUAGUAAUCGCGGGUCAGCAGACCGCGGUGAAUACGUUCCCGUUUCUUGUACACACCGCCCGUCAAGUCAACAAAGUCAGCAAUACCCGAAGCCCUCAAGAAACUGGGGGUUAAGGUAAGGUUGGCGAUGGGGGCUAAGUCGUAACAAGGUAACCGUA
rnacentral:rRNA from 1 species